rnacentral:tRNA from 1 species
AAAAUCCGUCGACUUUAAAAUGAGGGUUCAAGUCCCUCUAUCCCCA